rnacentral:tRNA from 1 species
CAGGGAGACAACAAAAUGUUAAAUAUUAAUUUUGUCACCUUAGGUCGAUCGGUAUCUCAGAUUCUUAAAUCCUUUAAGAAUUUCAAUUCCUAAGUUUUUCUAGGUCACACCCAUUACUUUCCCUGGGCCAUUAGCUCAGGUGGUUAGAGCGCACCCCUGAUAAGGGUGAGGUCCCUGGUUCAAGUCCAGGAUGGCCCAUAUCUCUAUGUUGGGGGUAUAGCUCAGUUGGUAGAGCGCCUGCUUUGCAAGCAGGAUGUCAGCGGUUCGAGUCCGCUUACCUCCACUGAUUACCACCUCUCUCAUGAAUUUCGAGGGAAUUGUUUUGAGAUGUGAUUUUGAUCUGAACGAAUCUAGCUUCCUAAUUAAUAUUAAGAUGCUGGACUCAUUGAAUUUUAUUCAUUGUUUUCAGAGAACCUUGACAACUGCAUAGAUUUUUUAAAAGACAAUAAGCAUCUUUAAUGAUGCAGAUUUAUUAUUUGUGCUUAAUGCAUUAAUAACAAUUCUAUUGAGCUGAUGCUUCAAUUUUGAAGUUAUU